rnacentral:rRNA from 1 species
UACGUAGGAUGCAAGCGUUGUCCGGAAUUAUUGGGCGUAAAGAGCUCGUAGGCGGUCUGUCGCGUCUGCUGUGAAAUCCCAGGGCUUAACCCUGGGCCUGCAGUGGGUACGGGCAGACUAGAGUGCGGUAGGGGAGAUCGGAAUUCCUGGUGUAGCGGUGAAAUGCGCAGAUAUCAGGAGGAACACCGGUGGCGAAGGCGGAUCUCUGGGCCGUAACUGACGCUGAGGAGCGAAAGCAUGGGUAGCGAACAGG